rnacentral:lncRNA from 1 species
GGGGGGGUCUCGGGCUGAAAGCACAUGUGGGGAGCCUAAUUCCCGGCUGGUACCUCCCUGCACAUCCUUCUCGGGACCUCAGGGGUGGCCGUCCCCCAGCUGCGGAGCCAGCCCUUAUGGGGGUUUAACUGGGAGAGAGCGAGCCACAUCGCCUCUUGCAGUGGGAAACGUAAUUUCACUAAGUGGGUUUGUAACUCAAAAGUAUAUGUUGAGGGCUUAGUAUCGUACAUUGUAUGGUUUAGAGACAGAGAAAGUAAAAAAUAAUAGAUUUAGUACUGUACAAACGAAAAGAAUUCAUAGCAGAAAGAAGCAUGUCAUUACUCAGACGGAUUCGCAGCACUGGAGAACACAUGAAAUCACAGAACAUACAUGAAACACGCUGCUCUAGCUCUGAACCUGCUGCCAGCAGCUGCUGGUGCCCUUCUACCCCUGGAGGUUCAGAAGUAGCACCUGAGAGAGGCGAGGGGCAGGUGGCUGGGAGCAGGAGGAGACCCUCCUCCGAGUGCCCCUGGGAAUAAAAGGAGUGGGAGACAUGGGUACCUCUAAGGAAAAGGCCAAUGCCACGUGGGGGCUUGCAGAAGACCAGGCAUACUUCACAAGAGCUUGAUUUAUGCUCAGAAUAUAUUUUAUUUAAAAUCACAGAAAUUCCGCAACAACUUCCAAAGUCCAUGACUUAUCAGAAAAAGAUGCCGAAGCUAAUGGCAAACACCGUAACAUUUUGCUUCAAAGGUGUCUCAGGCUCAGCAUGGGUUGCCAUUUUCCAGGAGCACAUCUCUAGCCGCACCCCCAACAAUGUCCUCUUCCAUGCAUAUCCAACAUUGUCUCCUCCACAUCACCUCCAUUUCUCCUGCCCGUCACAGCUAUUGCUCUUUCUCAGACAUGUCUUAAACUUGCAUUUUUUUAGACAUGACUGACUGAGAUGAAGUCUUCAGUUGCCAUGAAGAUACGGCAAAUUAUUUGCUGUAAAUCUUUAUUUGGAAGAGUAAAUAGUCAUUGUUAAAUUGUACAGCAAUCUCCUGAGAAACAAUUAGAGUAAAUAACAAAUUGCUAUGAAAAUCGAUUCUAUAGUAUCCUACAUGACAUAAAAGUAUACUAUUAAAAACAAAACAAAACUAAGCAUGCAAUAAAUGGGAGAUGGUCACUGCA